CGAAGCUUUCCCGGCUUCUGGUUCUGGUUUCACUGUUUCCUUAGCAGGUUCAUUUAUAUGAGUUUUCUCAGAAUGUUUCUCAGCUUGUUGUGACUCUGGUUUCACUGUUUCCUUGGCUGGUACACUUAUACCAGUUCGCUCUGAAGGUUUCUCAGCUUGUGAUUCUAGUUUCACUGUUUCCUUGGCUGGUUGACUUAUACCAGUUCGUUCUGAAGGUUUCUCAGCUUGUGAUUCUAGUUUCACUGUUUCCUUGGCUGGUUCACUUAUACCAGUUCUUUCUGAAGGUUUCUCGGUUUGUGAUCCUAGUUUCAUUGUCUCCUUUGCUGAUUCACUUAUACCAGAACGCUCUGAAGGUUUCUCAGCUUGUGAUCCUAGUUUCACUGUCUCCUUUGCUGAUUCACUUAUACUAGUUCCCUUUGAAGGUUGCUCCGCUUCUGAUUCUAAUUUCACUGUUUUCUUGGGUGGUUCACUUAUACUAGUUACCUCUGAAGGUUUCUCCGCUUCUGAUUUUAGUUUCACUGUUUCCUUGGCCGGUACACUUAUAAUAGUUACCUCUGAAGGUUUCUCAGCUUGUGAUUCUAGUUUCACUGUUUCCUUGGCUGGCUCACUUAUAAUAGUUACCUCCGAAGGUUUCUCAGCUUCUGAUUCUAGUUUCACUGUUUUCUUGGUUGGUUCACUUAUACCAGUUACCCCUGAAGGUUUCUCAGCUUCUGAUUCUAGUUUUCCUGUUUCCUUAGCUGGUUCACUUAUAAUAGUUACCUCUGAAGGUUUCUCAGAUUUUGCCUCUAGUUUCUCUGUCUCCUUAUCUGCUUCAUUGUUAAGAAUUCCUUCAGAAGGUUUCUCAGUUUGUGAUGUUUCUUUCUUCACAGUCUCAAAAUUUUGUUUUGAGGAUUCAUUGCUUUUACUUUCCUCGGAC
rnacentral:lncRNA from 1 species